rnacentral:rRNA from 1 species
GAGGGCGGGUGCUAUACAUGCAGUCGAGCGAACUGAUUAGAAGCUUGCUUCUAUGACGUUAGCGGCGGACGGGUGAGUAACACGUGGGCAACCUGCCUGUAAGACUGGGAUAACUUCGGGAAACCGAAGCUAAUACCGGAUAGGAUCUUCUCCUUCAUGGGAGAUGAUUGAAAGAUGGUUUCGGCUAUCACUUACAGAUGGGCCCGCGGUGCAUUAGCUAGUUGGUGAGGUAACGGCUCACCAAGGCAACGAUGCAUAGCCGACCUGAGAGGGUGAUCGGCCACACUGGGACUGAGACACGGCCCAGACUCCUACGGGAGGCAGCAGUAGGGAAUCUUCCGCAAUGGACGAAAGUCUGACGGAGCAACGCCGCGUGAGUGAUGAAGGCUUUCGGGUCGAUAAAACUCUGUUGUUAGGGAAGAACAAGUACGAGAGUAACUGCUCGUACCUUGACGGUACCUAACCAGAAAGCCACGGCUAACUACGUGCCAGCAGCCGCGGUAAUACGUAGGUGGCAAGCGUUAUCCGGAAUUAUUGGGCGUAAAGCGCGCGCAGGCGGUUUCUUAAGUCUGAUGUGAAAGCCCACGGCUCAACCGUGGAGGGUCAUUGGAAACUGGGGAACUUGAGUGCAGAAGAGAAAAGCGGAAUUCCACGUGUAGCGGUGAAAUGCGUAGAGAUGUGGAGGAACACCAGUGGCGAAGGCGGCUUUUUGGUCUGUAACUGACGCUGAGGCGCGAAAGCGUGGGGAGCAAACAGGAUUAGAUACCACUGGUAGUCCACGCCGUAAACGAUGAGUGCUAAGUGUUAGAGGGUUUCCGCCCUUAGUGCUGCAGCUAACGCAUUAAGCACUCCGCCUGGGGAGUACGGUCGCAAGACUGAAACUCAAAGGAAUUGACGGGGGCCCGCACAAGCGGUGGAGCAUGUGGUUUAAUUCGAAGCAACGCGAAGAACCUUAUACAGGUCUUGACAUCCUCUGACAACUCUAGAUUC